UACGUAGGGCGCAAGCGUUAUCCGGAAUUAUUGGGCGUAAAGAGCUCGUAGGCGGCUUGUCGCGUCUGCCGUGAAAGUCCGGGGCUCAACUCCGGAUCUGCGGUGGGUACGGGCAGACUAGAGUGAUGUAGGGGAGACUGGAAUUCCUGGUGUAGCGGUGAAAUGCGCAGAUAUCAGGAGGAACACCGAUGGCGAAGGCAGGUCUCUGGGCAUUAACUGACGCUGAGGAGCGAAAGCAUGGGGAGCAAACAGG
rnacentral:rRNA from 1 species